AUGACACCUCUCCACACAUUUAUCACUAUAUUGUACAGAGAACCAAGUGCCCUGACCUAUGCUAUAAAGAGAUCAUGUGAAAACAAAGCUGAAGUUGUUGCUCUGGAUGAGAAGGAAAGUGAUCUUCGAGCAACACUAGACCUGGACCUAGAACCACUGGUUCACUUAGAACGAGUUAGUCGAUUGUUGUGA
rnacentral:rRNA from 1 species